CUCAGUGGUUUGAACUGUGUUGGAGUCAAUAUGUUUGGGCGUGUGGUGUGGUGCAGGGCCGAUGUUGGUGGCCCCAGCUGAAGCUAUGUUAAUGCUGGGGAGGCUGUUGCUCCUGGGGUAGGCCUCAGGUUUCUAAGCCCUUCCCUAAUGAGGAGUUAGGAGGCACGAGUUGCCACAGUUUGUCUUUUUCCUGGUCAUUAUAGGGCUGAAGUGGUGCUUUUUGUAUCUUCUGCAUCAGCUUCUACCCUUGGAUUGGGUUUCCCGUGGCUCUGGUAGAGUGCAGAGGGUUUUGCUCUCUGCUGGGCCAGAUAAUUGCUUUGGGAAGGUCCUUUAUAGACCAGAAUUAUGUUGGCUCUGCAGGCUUCUGCAGUUAAAGGCCUGACUCGCAGUGUGGAAUUGGAGCCUGUUGGGCAAGGAAUGGGAGACAGAGCCUUUCCUUCCCUAAUUCCUCUAAGCUGUAAGUUUUUGCUGUGUCUGUGGUUCUGGCCAGGGUUCGUGUUUGGGGUGGGAGCUGUGAAGUUUUGCUCCCUUUCCAGGUGGUGUUGCUGUAUCUGUGCUUAGGGCAGGGAGCAUUGGGGUGUUUUUGUUAAUUCAGGCUCCUCCUGAGGGAUGGAAGGUACAGACUGAAAAGCUUGCAGGGGAGGGUGAUUCAGCACUGUGAUGUGGUCCCACAGUGGGGUGAAUGAUAGGGUAAAGCACCACUCUGAGCAAGAGCAUGUCAGGUCAUAGUCUGGUUUAAGCCAGUGUUUCUGUGCUAUUGUCUUUCUUGUAAUUUUCCUGUUAAAUUGUAGCUCUGACUUGGAAUUUCUCACCAAGUAUUUGUGCAGAGUUAAUUCCUCCUGCUGCUUUACCUUCAAUCCUUUACCUUCAGCAUGCUCACCUCAAGGCACUCAGGCAGCCCCUGGUUCUGUGCUCUGUGUUUGGCUGGUCAGCGUUCUCCUGCCAGGUGGUCCCCUCCUGCAGUUAAUUACCUGCCUGGGUUAAAGGUCACUUGUAAGGGUAGGACAAGCACUGAGGCAGAGCUUGUUGGGACCCUGACAGAGAGGGAGAAGCAGCAAAUGGAGUUGGAAAAGUAUUGUCCUUUCUGUACCUGAGAAGCUGGACAAGACCAUGGAAUCAGACCUGUGGUCUUGUUGUGGAGUCCACGGUCCAAGGGAACUCCUGGAUUGCUCCUGAAGCCCUGGCCAGGCUUGGGGCCCGAUCCACGAGGAAGCCGAGCCGGGCUGUUGCCGCACUGGACGUUGUGUCAGCCUGUUGCUGGCACCCAUUUGUCCGAGCUGGGCCCUGUCCCAGCAGAGCUGUAAGUCUCUUUGCCUGCAGGUGGAUGUGCCAGUGGCAAGUCCCAGUUGUGGGAGAGGCUCUCCAGUGCUUGGCUGGGACAGGGGGUUCCCAGCUCACGGGCUGUGGCUCUGGAGGAUGGUGAAGUCUCAGGGUCCCUGGUGCUGCGUCUCAGUCCCUGUGGUGCUGCUCUCUUUGGUAGCAGUGGUGAGGGGCAUUGCAGGGCUUUGUUGUUUGGAGUUCUUUGCUGCUUUGAGCUCUGGUCGGUGAGGCUGGAUUCCUGAAGCUGCUGUCUGUGUCUUUGCUGCUGCCCCUGCCCCCUGGCCAAACAAACCUGCAAGGAUUUAAGGUUUUAGACCUGGUAUUUCCUUUGGUGAGCUUCCUCCCAGCCCUGAUGUACUCCUGGAAGUGCCAUGGAGGUGUCCUCCUCUCAGGACCGAGGAGCUGUAGGCUGGGUGCUGCUUCUGUUCUGCCCUGGGACCCCUUGGGAGGGCUUGGAGAGAAGCCUGAAGAUGGGCUGGGGAGACAUGAUCUGGGAUAUUCCCCCCUCCUGAUGUUUGGUACCAGUGCAGUAGGAAAAUCCAGGUUUCCUUCUAGCUCGGGAUUUCUUGGUCAAGGGGCCAAACCCCUGGGAGAUGCUGGAGUUUGAGGGGGUAUUGUGCUAGCUCUGAUAUAGAGCUGCCUCCUGUCAUGAAGUAAACAGCACUUGCUGCAACUGGCAGACUUCUGUUUGUUUCCCUCAGAGCAUUUAGAGGGCUGUGUAGCUGCUGGGCUGUUCCCAACAGGUGCAAGGUCCUUGUCUGUGCAGUGUAAUGAAUCGUAUUCCACUGAGACUUGAAUGAGCCUCCAGGAAUUUGUGAGCUGAUGAAGGGAUUUCUGAGCCAAAGUUCCCGGCCUGAAUAAGGUUGGCAGCUCUAGCGGACACGCCGAUUGCUGGUAAUUGUGCCCUUCUGGCUGUGGAGCACCUUGGGUAAGUCAGAAAUCUGUGGGAACUCUGUGGCCUUUCCUCGUGUAAGUAAAUGUAUUUAUGGCUAUUGCACUGCAAUGUCAGCUCUGCUGUUGCUGAUCUAGAGGAAUCAGGUGUUUCCCCACCAAGCACAGCCUUUCUCUCGUCUGUCUAUUUCUCAGAGUUUUCAACUGAUUGUCCUAUUCUUGAAAUUCAGCGCUCUUCUGAAAUCCACAGGGAAGAAUGUGAGAUCGUGGUCACAACGCUUAAGCACCUAUGAGAGGCGAAGCAGAGGCUUCUUUGAAAAGCUCUGCAAAGGAAAAUGUCAACUGAACUAGGGACGAGCCUCAAAAGUGGUUAAAUAGUUUCUUCUAAUAAUGAUAUCAUGUAAACAGAGGAAUGGGAUGCAUUUGGUAUAACUUUAGAGGUAGUCUAGGCAGUACAAACUGCACAGAAUUGUAUCAACAGGCUGGAAGCAAUCAGUUCAUUUCCCUCAAAUCACAGCUUUGGUUGAGGUGAUUUUUCUGGGCAGUUUUUCAACUUGGAUGGGAAUGAAAGCUUCCAAGGUGUGCCCCUUUGUAGCUCAAGCCCCCUCGUAGAUAACAAGCUGAUGUUGAUGUUUUCACUUUCAUCUCAGGGAAGCAGUGGCCUGAAGCUGUUCUUGUCUCUGGCAGUUGCAGGGCACGCUUGGAUCUCUGCUGCAGCUCUUCUGGGCGGAGCUGUCCUGCCCUUUCAAGCAGCCCUUCCUUUCCUGGGCAGUUGAUCCGUGCUGUGCUUGAGGGAGAGAUCUUGGUUGUGGCUGUGUCCUGCCUGCCUCGGCUGGCAAAUGCUGCGGUUGUGGUUGGCGUGUGGCCGUGGGGAUCCUGGGGACAGUACCCUGGAGCGAGUGCAGUGAUCCCUGAGGAUGAAGAGAGGCUUGGGAUGAGGCGAAGAGACUUGGAGCCACCAUUUUCCCAGAAUGACACUUCUGCUGAAAGCGCCUGCUCAGAAAGUGAAUGUAACCUUGUCUUCUCCAAGUCACCGACAAGCACGUGACAAAGAAGGGGACCCAGAAGUUCUCGGGGCCCUGGCAGCGAGAGCAGCAGCAAAUGGUGUUGGAGAGUUUCUGUGAGCCCCUGUUUGGUGUUCCAGGUGCUGCAAGUCUUUGGCCCAACUGCUGGGAGCCACUGGACCCUUGAUGAGCAUUGACUGCGCUUGUGGAGGGCCUGGCCACGUGGGCAUUCCUGGGAGGAGGAGGUUUGUGAGUGGAAUGGCCGAUCUGCAUGAGACAGGGGGUGAACUCUCACUGCCUAGAGGCUGCAGCUGGGCCUUUGAGGGGAUGAGAGGCAAAUCCUGCCAGGAGCUGGAGCCUCUUCUCCUGCUAACAGCCCUCCCUGACACACCUGGCCCAGCUGUGAAAGUUUCUUUUCCCUUAUGUGUUUC